UGGAGUAUAGCCAAGUGGUAAGGCAUCGGUUUUUGGUACCGGCACGCAAAGGUUCGAAUCCUUUUACUCCAG
rnacentral:tRNA from 10 species